AGAGUUUGAUUAUGGCUCAGGAUGAACGCUAGCUACAGGCUUAACACAUGCAAGUCGAGGGGCAGCAUUUUACUAGCAAUAGUAAAGAUGGCGACCGGCGCACGGGUGAGUAACACGUAUCCAACCUGCCGAUAACUCGGGGAUAGCCUUUCGAAAGAAAGAUUAAUAUCCGAUAGUAUAUUUUCUCCGCAUGGCGAGAAUAUUAAAGAAUUUCGGUUAUCGAUGGGGAUGCGUUCCAUUAGGCAGUUGGUGAGGUAACGGCUCACCAAACCUUCGAUGGAUAGGGGUUCUGAGAGGAAGGUCCCCCACAUUGGAACUGAGACACGGUCCAA
rnacentral:rRNA from 1 species